GGCAGGAGGGUAGAUUUGGCAACAUGAGGGCGUCCAGGCUUCUCUCUUGCUAAGAAGCAGACAACCAGAGGAAAGAUGGUAUACAUCUCAAAUGGUCAGGUGUUGGACAGCCAGAAUCAGUCCCCCUGGAGAUUGUCUUUCACAACAGAUUUCUUUUGGGGAAUAGCAGAAUUUGUGUGUGUGUGUGUGUGUGUGUGUGUGUGUGUGUGUGUGUGUGUGUGUGUGUAUGUGUGUGUUUUGUUUGGUUGGUUUUUUUUUCUUUUUUUUUUCAAAACUCUGCCUCAGCAAGAUGUGAAGAAAAGAAGAGGCUACGGGAGCCCCUCUGAUUCCAAAUACGAUGACAGAAGAGGGCCAUCAGGAAACUCUCCCACGAAGAAUGGGUCCGAUCAGUCACUUUCGUGGCCCCAUUCCUCCCCCAAUGGCCAGUGGAUCAGGAAGGUAAACAUCUGCUCUAAGAAGCAGACAACUAGACAUACACAAGCAUAGAAGGGAACCAUCAAAAGGUGUGGAGCAGCUCAUGAGGGGAGGAUGGUGUAUGUCCAAACAAGGACUACUCUGUGUCCUCACAGAAGAAUGAGGUCAUGCUGGGAAAUCCCUCUGCAGGAUCUGGCCUGAAUGAUGUGCAGUUCUACAACUCCUGUGUGUACAUCUCCUUAUCUGUUUUGUAUAGGUUACAAAAGUUAACAUAGAUUUAAGAAGUAAAUAUUUUUCGGUUGUAAAACUUGAUUCUUCAUCUUUAUAUGAUUAUACACAAAAUCCUUGAUCUGGAAGAAAUAAAGGCCAUGUAGUUAGGACUGGAGAAAAAUAAAAAAAGAAAAGUAGCCUUAGGCUCAAUCCCCACUGCUAUUUUUCCUUCUUUAUUAUCUCAAACCAUGAACAUUCUUUCAUUCAAUUACUCCUGGUCAUUGUUUUCAGCUACAGAGUAUUCAUCUGCAGAGGCAAAACUACUAACAACGUAAGAAAUAUUUUCCUUCCAUUUUUACUUGUAGUAUUUAUUAAUUAUUUUAUAGUGCUUGGCAUUGAACCUGUGGCCACAUACAACACAUUUAAAUGGUCUUAGACUAAUCUACACUUUUUCUUUAUUUUCCAAAUUAAUAUUGAUCUAUGACAGCAGCAGACAUAUAUGUUUCUUGAUCAACCAUUAUUACUAUAUGGAACAUGUUUUUCGGGCAGAGAGGAGGGCAAGAAAGAAGCAAAUGCAUUACUUACUACAGCAUUACAUACCAAUUGUCAUUGGGUGAAAUGACAAAAAAAUGAGGCUUUUGAGCUUUAUUUUUCCAACAUUUUUGUUCUUUACUGUCACAAGAAAGUAACUCUGUCACAUUUUUUCACUCAUAUUGUUUGGUUAGUGGAGAGGCUUGAGAGCCAUGGUAAAAAAAAAAAUAAAAAAAAUAAAAAAAAAAACACUUGAGAAACAUGAAGUAUAAGGUCUAGUGGUAAAAACGAGAAACUUGAGGCUCAUAAAAUAUAAAUAAUCUGUUAAAGAUCACAGAGAGUCAAUGACAGAGUCUCACAGGACAGCAGAUUUUAUACUGUUAAGUGAUUGUCUGCCUGUUUCAUAUACAUGAAAUAACUGAUAUUUGUUGGUGAAGAAGGCAUAUAUUGCUUACUCGGCAAAUCUUCAUUAAGUUUCUCCCCUAUCCAAGUAGAAUUCUAGGCAUUUAGGGGUAAAAAUAACUGAGAUAACAGAAAUAUCCUCUAUCUGGAUUUCAUCUUAUAUUAAUUAGGGCAGAAGGAACAUCAAUAAAUAAAUGGGAAUAAAAUGUCUAAAAUGAUAUCUACAGAGACUAGAAACUUAGGAUAAA